rnacentral:rRNA from 1 species
CAAAAGCGUAUAUUAAAGUUGUUGCAGUUAAAAAGCUCGUAGUUGAACCUUGGGCUUGGCUGGCCGGUCCAUCUUUUUUGAUGCGUACUGGACCCAGCCGUGCCUUUCCUUCUGGCUAGCCUUUUGGCGAACCAGGACUUUUACUUUGAAAAAAUUAGAGUGUUCAAAGCAGGCCUUUGCUCGAAUAUAUUAGCAUGGAAUAAUAGAAUAGGACGUUAUGGUUCUAUUUUGUUGGUUUCUAGGACCAUCGUAAUGAUUAAUAGGGACGGUCGGGGGUAUCAGUAUUCAGUUGUCAGAGGUGAAAUUCUUGGAUUUACUGAAGACUAACUACUGCGAAAGCAUUUACCAAGGACGUUUUCAUUAA